GCUAUAGGAACUAAAAUUGCGCGGAACUGUUCUGUAAGGAUUUUCUUGUCGGACCGCGAGGUGCUGGGGGACCCAUUUGAGAGACGGACCUAUUCAGAUUCGCGUUUCUUCCGGUGCUUUGUGGAGAGGAGGCUGCUGAGGAACCAUGAGCGCCGCUUUGGGCAAAGUUCUGUGUUUGGGAAAGGAACCUGUUUUAAAGGAGACACCUAUGCUUAUUAGACUCGCCUUCAAUGCUUCUAGAAGGAGCGCCGUUUGUUCUGUAGGAUGUAUGCCAGUGAGUGGCCACAGGCACUACAGGUCCCAGCCGACCCACGGCAUCGGACGAUAUAAGCAUCUGCUCCCGCCAGAGGUAAG